rnacentral:rRNA from 1 species
AUGGCCACGUGGUCCGCCGUCUCUACGCUCUGGCGCCUCUGCCGUGCCACGGACACUGGCGCCGGCGCGUGCUGCGAUAAGGCGCUGCGUGUGGGCACCUCCGAGAAGCUGCUCCAGGUGGGCUGCGGCGGCGUGACCAAAGAUCGGGCCAACGAGCUGCUCAAGCUGCUCAAUGGUUUCAGGGGCAGCGUAGAGUGCAUCGAGAUGGUGGACUUCAAGGGGCUCAAGAGGCCAUUUUGA